rnacentral:rRNA from 1 species
UACAGAGGUGCCAAGCGUUGGGCGGAAUCACUGGGCUUAAAGCGCGUGUAGGUGGGUCGUUAAGUGUCCGCGUGAAAUCCCACGGCUCAACCGUGGAACUGCCGGGCAUACUGGCGAUCUUGAGGCAUUCAGGGGCGAGCGGAACAAGUGGUGGAGCGGUGAAAUGCGUUGAUAUUCACAGGAACUCCGGUGGCGAAGGCGGCUCGCUGGAUCUUUUCUGACGCUGAGGCGCGAAAGCUAGGGGAGCAAACGGG